rnacentral:rRNA from 1 species
AGAGUUUGAUCCUGGCUCAGAUUGAACGCUGGCGGCAUGCUUUACACAUGCAAGUCGAACGGUAACAGGGUGCUUGCACCGCUGACGAGUGGCGAACGGGUGAGUAAUGCAUCGGAAUGUACCGUGUAAUGGGGGAUAGCUCGGCGAAAGCCGGAUUAAUACCGCAUACGCCCUGAGGGGGAAAGUGGGGGACCGCAAGGCCUCACGUUAUACGAGCAGCCGAUGUCUGAUUAGCUAGUUGGUGAGGUAAAGGCUCACCAAGGCGUCGAUCAGUAGCGGGUUUGAGAGAACGACCAGCCACACUGGAACUGAGACACGGUCCAGACUCCUACGGGAGGCAGCAGUGGGGAAUUUUGGACAAUGGGGGCAACCCUGAUCCAGCAAUGCCGCGUGAGUGAAGAAGGCCUUCGGGUUGUAAAGCUCUUUUGUCAGGGAAGAAACGGUGAGUUCUAAUACAGCUUGCUAAUGACGGUACCUGAAGAAUAAGCACCGGCUAACUACGUG